GCGGAUAUGGCGGAAUUGGCAGACGCGCUAGACUUAGGAUCUAGUGGGAGACCGUGGGGGUUCAAGUCCCUUUAUCCGCACCA
rnacentral:tRNA from 2 species